CGAUAGCAGAAGCAGUUCUUCUUGGAUCUGUUGCCUGUAACAGAGCUCAGAAUAUUUACGAGGCAAUGAAGAAUGGAGGAGAAAUACCUGUUCCUCUAAAGUCAAAACGAGCCAUCAGAAUGGAAAAGUACAGUAAUCUUGCACAGAAGAUCAUCUCUUCAGAUUUUGUAGAUGUCGAAGAAAUACAAGAGACAUGUAACAAGCUGUGAAAUAAGUUGCAAGGAAAGUCCAAGUUUCUUAAAUUUUAUUUGUUGU